GCUCAGCUGGUUUGUGAGAAGAG
rnacentral:piRNA from 1 species